rnacentral:rRNA from 1 species
CACGUAGGGCGCAAGCGUUGUCCGGAAUUAUUGGGCGUAAAGAGCUCGUAGGCGGUCUGUUGCGUCCGCUGUGAAAACUCGGGGCUUAACCCCGAGCCUGCAGUGGAUACGGGCAGACUAGAGGUAGGUAGGGGAGAAUGGAAUUCCCGGUGUAGCGGUGGAAUGCGCAGAUAUCGGGGAGGAACACCGGUGGCGAAGGCGGUUCUCUGGGCCUUGACCCU